UCAUACAAAUCAUAACUUCAUGCACGAUCAACAACACAGAACAUAUCAUAAAUUCACAUUUAUUAACAGUAAACUAAAUCAUAACCGUUUCUCGUUUUACCAGCCUACUAGUAGCCAUGGGGAUGCAUAGGGGUGUUCCUACUAUAUGUGAACCCUUUCCCUUAAUAAUCUUAAUUACAUAGCCGACCCCAUACCCCGUCUGGUAUGAGUGCCAAAAUAUUAAACCUUAAUACUCUAUCCGGUAUGAGGGUGAAGCGGCCGCCCCCAUACCCCGUCUGGUAUGAGCACCAAAUUACCAAAUCUCCAUACCCCAUUCGGUAUGAGACAACUUUCACAGUAGGGUUCCCUAUAAAUUCAGUCCGUCCACCAUCUCCUAGGAUAUCUAGUGAGGCUGUCAUCUUAUCUGUUUAUUAGAUCACAUCCCUUUCCUGUUUUUUCUUAGUCUCCGUUACCAAAUCAAACAUAAUCACAUAAAAAAAUAAAUAUGCAUCCGGUAAUGCAAUCAUAUCUUAAAUCCCAAAAUCAAACAGUGAUCAAGUAAGACAGUAAUACAUGAAUUUAAACCAUAAACUAGAUAAACCAGAUACCAUCAUGCUUUUACACUAUAAAAUAAAUCAACAUAAAUCAACAUAAAUCAACAGAGAACAAUGCCCGAUUCGGGCUCCAUUCGCAAUCCGUAAUUAAUUAUGCACAUCUAUUUAAUUUUUACAAAAGACCGUAUUAUUAUUUAUUUAAACUUCAAAUCCAUGAUAGGAAAUAGGGCGAGGGGUCCUUACUUGAUUUGACGCUGAAAAGCUAAAUGGUUACUGCGCCUACGAGUGGUCAUUGAGUUCCCUAAAUUUUUCUUCAAGAACUGAAAUGUGCUUACGGUACCCACAAAUGUCCCAAUUAAACCCAAAAAUUAGUCCCAGGGCCUACUCGACCAAUUUCAGAAAUCUGCCACGGU
rnacentral:lncRNA from 1 species